UGGGGAAUAUUGCACAAUGGGCGCAAGCCUGAUGCAGCCAUGCCGCGUGUAUGAAGAAGGCCUUCGGGUUGUAAAGUACUUUCAGCGAGGAGGAAGGCGUUGUGGUUAAUAACCGCAACGAUUGACGUUACUCGCAGAAGAAGCACCGGCUAACUCCGUGCCAGCAGCCGCGGUAAUACGGAGGGUGCAAGCGUUAAUCGGAAUUCAUGGGCGUAAAGCGCACGCAGGCGGUCUGUCAAGUCGGAUGUGAAAUCCCCGGGCUCAACCUGGGAACUGCAUCCGAAACUGGCAGGCUAGAGUCUUGUAGAGGGGGGUAGAAUUCCAGGUGUAGCGGUGAAAUGCGUAGAGAUCUGGAGGAAUACCGGUGGCGAAGGCGGCCCCCUGGACAAAGACUGACGCUCAGGUGCGAAAGCGUGGGGAGCAAACA
rnacentral:rRNA from 1 species